AUUGAACGCUGGCGGCAUGCUUUACACAUGCAAGUCGAACGGUAACAGGCCGCAAGGUGCUGACGAGUGGCGAACGGGUGAGUAAUGCAUCGGAACGUGCCCAGUCGUGGGGGAUAACGCAGCGAAAGCUGCGCUAAUACCGCAUACGAUCUAUGGAUGAAAGCGGGGGACCGUAAGGCCUCGCGCGAUUGGAGCGGCCGAUGUCAGAUUAGGUAGUUGGUGGGGUAAAGGCUCACCAAGCCAACGAUCUGUACCUGGUCUGAGAGGACGACCGUCCACACUGGGACUGCGCCACGGCCCAGACUCCUACGGGAGGCAGCAGUGGGGAAUUUUGGACAAUGGGCGCAAGCCUGAUCCAGCAAUGCCGCGUGCAGGAAGAAGGCUUUCGGGUUGUAAACUGCUUUUGUACGGAACGAAACGGUCUGGGUUAAUACCUCGGGCUAAUGACGGUACCGUAAGAAUAAGCACCGGCUAACUACGUGCCAGCCGCCGCGGUAAUAC
rnacentral:rRNA from 1 species